GCCUGGUUAGCUCAGUUGGUUAGAGCGUGGUGCUAAUAAUGCCAAGGUCGCGGGUUCAAUCCCUGCUCACUGCA
rnacentral:tRNA from 1 species